GGUUUUGUAGUCAAUUAUGAUGUUAAAUUGCAAAUUUAAAGGUAAUUUGUUUUCAAGGCUU
rnacentral:tRNA from 1 species